GACGAACGCUGGCGGCGUGCUUAACACAUGCAAGUCGAACGGGCCUGCCUGGCUUUGGUUGGGUGGGUGAGUGGCGAACGGGUGAGUAACACGUGAGUAACCUGCCCUCUUCUCUUGGAUAACUGCUUGAAAGGGCGGCUAAUACGGGAUGUUCUGGCUGCCUCGCACGGGGUGGUUUGGAAAGAUUCGGCCUGGUUUUGGUUGUUUUGGUGGGGGAUGGGCUCGCGGCUUAUCAGCUUGUUGGUGGGGUGAUGGCCUACCAAGGCGGUGACGGGUAGCCGGCCUGAGAGGGUGGACGGUCACACUGGGACUGAGACACGGCCCAGACUCCUGCGGGAGGCAGCAGUGGGGGAUUUUGCACAAUGGGCGCAAGCCUGAUGCAGCGACGCCGCGUGAGGGAUGGAGGCCUUCGGGUUGUGAACCUCUGUCGCCGGUGAUGUAGGCUCUGCUUUGUGGGU
rnacentral:rRNA from 1 species